ACCAUAAUUACUCGUCAACAUCUAUUAAAACUGAUGCAGAAUUUCCAGCUAUUUCUGAAAAUAGAAAAGCAGAGAAAAUGAAGCGCAUGCCAUCCCGAGAUCGUCUUUCGUGAGUAGAUGGACCGAACAAAUCGAUCGCCAGAGAAUGGAACCAACCUGAGACAGCCUUUUGCAACGUUUUACUCCUCACAAGUAAAACGUUGCCACGCCAGAAACCUUUUUAAAGUGCAAAAAUAGAACAAGAAAUAUUUCCAGUGACUACUUCAGUUUUUGACAAAUUCUCUACCAGCAAUCUGGGUGAUCGAGAAACUUUUCUCAGAAUGGUAUCGUAGAGAUAACGAAAGCAAGUUUUCUGAAGCCAUAUGGAGGUAAACUACAUAUAAUUUAUGUGGAAGCGUCUAUUAAGACAGGAGCUUGUUUUCCAGCUAUUUCUCAACACAAGAAAGUUACCUGAAUGAUUCUGA